GACGAACGCUGGCGGCGUGCCUAAUACAUGCAAGUCGAGCGAACGGACGAGAAGCUUGUUUCUCUGAUGUUAGCGGCGGACGGGCGAGUAACACGUGGAUAACCUACCUAUAAGACUGGGAUAACUUCGGGAAACCGGAGCUAAUACCGGAUAAUAUUUUGAACCGCAUGGUUCAAAAGUGAAAGACGGUCUUGCUGUCACUUAUAGAUGGAUCCGCGCUGCAUUAGCUAGUUGGUAAGGUAACGGCUUACCAAGGCAACGAUGCAUAGCCGACCUGAGAGGGUGAUCGGCCACACUGGAACUGAGACACGGUCCAGACUCCUACGGGAGGCAGCAGUAGGGAAUCUUCCGCAAUGGGCGAAAGCCUGACGGAGCAACGCCGCGUGAGUGAUGAAGGUCUUCGGAUCGUAAAACUCUGUAAUUAGGGAAGAACAUAUGUGUAAGUAACUGUGCACAUCUUGACGGUACCUAAUCAGAAAGCCACGGCUAACUACGUG
rnacentral:rRNA from 1 species